CCCGGCCGCCGGCGUCCCGGCCGGCGGUGAAAUACCACUACUCUGAUCGUUUUUUCACUUACCCGGUGAGGCGGGGGGGCGAGCCCCGAGGGGGGCUCUCGGUUCUGGCGCCAAGCGGCCGGCGCGCGCCGGGCGCGACCCGCUCCGGGGACAGCGGCAGGUGGGGAGUUUGACUGGGGCGGUACACCUGUCAAAGCGUAACGCAGGUGUCCUAAGGCGAGCUCAGGGAGGACGGAAACCUCCCGCGGAGCAGAAGGGCAAAAGC
rnacentral:ncRNA from 1 species